GAUGAACGCUGGCGGCGUGCCUAAUACAUGCCAGUCGAGCGAACGGACGAGAAGCUUGCUUCUCUGAUGUUAGCGGCGGACGGGUGAGUAACACGUGGAUAACCUACCUAUAAGACUGGGAUAACUUCGGGAAACCGGAGCUAAUACCGGAUGAUAUUUUGAACCGCAUGGUUCAAAAGUGAAAGACGGUCUUGCUGUCACUUAUAGAUGGAUCCGCGCUGCAUUAGCUAGUUGGUAAGGUAACGGCUUACCAAGGCAACGAUGCAUAGCCGACCUGAGAGGGUGAUCGGCCACACUGGAACUGAGACACGGUCCAGACUCCUACGGGAGGCAGCAGUAGGGAAUCUUCCGCAAUGGGCGAAAGCCUGACGGAGCAACGCCGCGUGAGUGAUGAAGGUCUUCGGAUCGUAAAACUCUGUUAUUAGGGAAGAACAUAUGUGUAAGUAACUGCGCACAUCUUGACGGUACCUAAUCAGAAAGCCACGGCUAACUACGUG
rnacentral:rRNA from 1 species